GUACUUACCUGGUGACGGGGCCUUGUUGGCCACCUAGGACGAAAUCUAAGGGUGAGGCAUAGGCGUUGCACUGCGCUCGCAUUGACCCCUGCCACUACCCCAUAUUUGGGAAGAUGGCGCAUGCAAAUUGCUGAAAUAUGGUUCAACACGAGAGGGCGCAACCGUC
rnacentral:snRNA from 1 species